rnacentral:rRNA from 1 species
GAUGAACGCUAGCUACAGGCUUAACACAUGCAAGUCGAGGGGCAGCAUGGAGUCUGCUUGCAGACUCUGAUGGCGACCGGCGCACGGGUGAGUAACGCGUAUCCAACCUGCCCAUAAUCGGGGAAUAGCCCAGCGAAAGUUGGAUUAAUGCUCCAUGUGAGUAAUAGAGGCAUCUCUUUUAUUGAAACGUAAGGAUUAUGGGUGAGCACGCUUCUGAUUAGGUAGUUGGUGAGGUAACGGCUCACCAAGCCGACGAUCAGUAGGGGUUCUGAGAGGAAGGUCCCCCACAUUGGAACUGAGACACGGUCCAAACUCCUACGGGAGGCAGCAGUGAGGAAUAUUGGUCAAUGGACGGAAGUCUGAACCAGCCAAGUCGCGUGAAGGAUGAAGGUUCUAUGGAUUGUAAACUUCUUUUGUCUGAGGGUAAAAAAGCGGAACGUGUCCGUUCUUGCAAGUAUCAGACGAAUAAGCAUCGGCUAACUCCGUG